GAUCCCUGGCCCUGCUCAGUGGGUUGAGGAUCCGGCGUUGCCGUGAGCUGUGGUGUAGGUCGCAGGCGUGGCUCAAAUCGCGUGGCUGUGGCCUAGGCCAGCACCUGCAGCUCCAAUUGGACUCCUAGCUUGGGAACUUACAUAUGGUGUAGGUAUGGCCCGGAAAAGGGGGGAAAAAAAAAACAAAUUUUUUUUGAUAUUUUUGAUGGACCUCCCAGACGUCAAAUUCUAAUUGAAGCUCUUUUGACUUUGGGCUCCCCCUGGAGGGCCUCACAGGCCCUGGAGCUUCCCAGAGAGACCCUCAACGCACAGGCUCAGUGGUGUGUGAAGCUUGGAGGGGACGCCGCGCAGCCUGGCCGUGCUGGGUCAGAUGGGCCUUCAGGCUGGCCCAGCUCCACUGUGGCUCCAGCCCGGGGGAGGGUUCGGUCUUGUGUCCGGUCUCACCUAAUGCGAUGUCUAGAAGCCCCUGUGGGACCCAGCCCUGGGCCCUCAGGUCCCGACCCCAGGGCGUUUGGCGUUGCGCCCACCCCCCGUUUCUCCAAGGGACCCUCUUUACAGUCGGGGCCUCUUUACUCAAGGCCUCGGCUGCCCACACACUGUCGCAGGCCGCCUGGUGGGCUGGCCCCUUCCCAGUGGCCCACGUUCUGGGCGUUCGAGAUGCUCGGUCUCAGGAAUACACCCCAGCAUCAUGGGGGCCCACGCUUUGUAAACAACAGGUCCCCCUCAAGGAGAGUCUUGGCAACACUGGCACAAACGUCCCCUGCCGUGAGGCCCUGGCACGAGGGACUGGGUGGACCAAGGUGUGGCUGGAUGAUGGGAGCGUGGGGGAUGCUUGAAACCCCAUCAGGUGAGGGGAGUCAGGGACACUCCGGCCCCCUCCCGACUAGGCCGCCUGGGAAAUGGCUCGGUUCUCUGGACUUCAUCCCCAGGGGCGCCGGGUUGCAGGUUACGCGACGGGAAAAUCCUCCCAAGCCGGAGAGACUCCUGGACUGCAGCCUUGAAAGCUGGGAAAGCUGCUAAGGAGACAGCCUGGAAAAGGGCAGACUCAGCCUCAGACUCGACUGGCACGCUGCCUGCUGCCUGGCCUUCGUGAAGCUGGAGAACGGAGGGAAGUGGGUCUGAAUGCAGUACCAUCGUGCACUUGGAUCUGUACCGCCGGCUUCCCUGUGCAGCUCCUGUAGUCACAGGCCCGGGGAGGAGGUUCCGUCACGGCUCAGUGGUAACAAACUCCACUAGGAUCCACGAGGACGCAGGUUCGAUCCCUGGCCCCACUCAGUGGGUUAAGGAUCUGGUGUUGCUGUGGGCUGCGGUGUAUGUCACAGAUGCGGCUCGGAUCCUGUGUGGCUAUGGUUAUGGUGUAGGCCGGCAGAGCCACUCUUCUCUGUCCUGUGUCUCGCGCUGGGCCUCUCUCCUCCAAAAGCUGGACAGUGGCCGGUGUUGAAGGGACACCUGGUGCCUGUCACUUCACCGGCCCCUCGCCUGCCAGCUCUUCAGCUGUGCCUGAGCAUCCACCCCACUACCGGGAGACACCUGGGCCCCUGGGGACCAUGUUACGGUUAAGAGGCGCUGAGCAGCCCCUCAUCUUGACUCGGCCCGGCCGGAAGAACGGGGGCCACGACGAGCAGUGAACACACACAGGAGCAGGAGUCCUGGGAAGACUGCAAAUGCCCAACCUGUAAAAAUGAGCCUCUGGGCCCGAAGCCAGUCAUCCCACCUUAAGCUGGAGGCGAAACGGGAAAAGGUUUGCAGCCCUUUAGAUAAAUUCUUUAGACACGGCCUGUUGGUGCCCUGCCCGGCUCCGUGCAGUGCUCCUGUGCGGCCAGGUGUUACGCCAACGGGGACAUCGGAGGGUGCGGGACCUCAGAGCAGUAGCUGAAGCCGGUCCCCACACAUCCUCUGUGGCCAGCCCUGCGUGGAUCCGUCCAGGUUCCCGGAGACGCCUGGUGGUUUACUUGUGCAUCAGCCCAUCCCUCAACACAAGGCUCUUUGCCUCCCAGUGGACCAGCCCCAGGCCAAAUGCAGUGGUGACCCAGACGGCAGCGCCCCGGGACCUCAGGACGGCCCGCGCUGUCCGCCCAGGCCCUCGGAAAAGCAGCAAGGGCAAUACACCUGGGAGGGACUGCUCUGCAGUGCGUGGUGACACGUUAACACGCAGCCCCACGACAGAGGCCUCGGGUCAGAGCACCCUUGACGUCCUUAGCUUCCUUGGGGUCCAGGGCUAAGGGUUUCCCAGAAAAAGGCACACGUUUCGAAGCAAAAAGUUAAAUGCCUGGGGUUUACCAUAAACGCUGGAAGCAGACUGUUACCCCAGACGGAAAACAGGCUACACUGGGGCUAAGUGUCGCGAAGACCAAGAGCCCUCUCACUACCUUCUUGGUCGUGGCGGGAUUUUGCAGAAUCUGGAUUCCAGGAUCCAGGCUAAGCCCCCGUGUGCAGUCACCAGAGGCCCGGACACAAAACCAUUGCUUUGGCCUGAAGAACACGCAGGCUCCCAGUCUUAUCAAACAGGCCCUCAUGGAACUCUGGCUCUGGGGCUCCCCCUCCCCCCGAAAAACUGUUCAGCCCCCAUGUGUCUGAAAAGCUGGGCCAGGCCUGGGGGUCCUUGUGCAAAAGCUGGGGGGAGUUCUCCAGCCUGAUUCCCGGCUGGACGUCGGCCUGGCUGCCUCCGGGCGGAAGCUGCCACUGCUUUAUUCGUAGAAGAAACGAAGACGCUGGAGGUCCAGGCCCCACAGCAGGCACAAGGGAUUCUGGAGAUGAAAGGCCACCCCUGGCCAACAGGAGGCCCCUUACCAGCACCAGACUCUACUCCUUGGCUGCCCAGAGGGACCCCUCAGAACUUGCUGCGGCCCCGCCGCACCGAUGCCGAAAGCCCCGGAUUCCUGCCCCGACCAGCAUUGUGCCUGCGGGUCUGACCUGACGACCAGGCCGUGGGAACCCUGAGCGGGAACGGUCUGCAGGCGGCCGCGGUUUCCCUGAAGACCGAGUCCGGGCAGGGGCCAAGUGGGAGCGCUCUCGAUGUCGCCGAAGCAAAACCUUCGCCGCCCAGACCCAGCCGCUGACCUCCGCUCAGGGGAGGAAAAAUGACGCGUGGAUACACAGACACAAGAGAUGCCUGCCGUGCUCUUGGUGCUAGGCAGCUUCCUGGAAGGUCAGAGGGCUUCAAACGCAAGGCCUUCCCCGUGAAACACCGCCCGGGGCUCUACAUCUCGCAGCAGAAGCGGCUCAAAGGCCAAAACAAGCAGCAGUUAUUCUCGGCCGCGGGGAGCAAAGGGGACCCUCCCCAAGUGCCCAAGGGAACCACAGGGCGGAUCCAGAAGCGGGGAGAGCAGCCCUGAUGCCCACGGCAGAAAUGGCCUUGAUUCCAGCCCCUACCCCUCCCAUGUGCUACUCAGGGAGACUCAGCUGCUUUUUUUGUUUUUCCUUUUUGGGCCACCCCAUGGCCUAUGGAGUUCCUAGGCCAGGGAUCAGAUUCCAGCUGUGGUUACCACGUAAGCUGCAGCUGUGGCAACACCAGAUUUUUAACCUGCUGGGCCGGGCCAGGGAUCAAACCUGCGUCCCAGCGCUCCCAAGGCGCCACCAGUCCCAUUGCACCACAGCAGGAACUCCAGGCUUCAGCUUCUGAAGAGACCUGGCUCGAGACAGAGGGGGAGGUGAGGGCACAGGCGGCUGGUGGCCCCUGGAGCAGAGGCGGCCACCCCCCCCCGCCCCCCGCUGGCCAGUGGGGGAUGGAAGGGCUGCCUGAGUCUCCAUCCGGGCAGAGGCCGCGUCUACAACGGUCUUCCGGCUUUUCACAGGGAAGGGGCUUCCAGACACAGUCAGGUGCGUCACCUGAGCCCGUGCCCUCUGCGCCCCCGUCUAGGGACAGCCUCAGCCCCCAUUUUGUUUGCCCAGUGCAUCCACAUGGGGCUUGGCCGGGGGAGGCCCGGCAGGAAGAUUUCAGCCAGGCGCCCUCUUCCCAGGGCUUCAAAUACGUGCUGGUCUUUGUUGAUACUCUUACCGGGCGGGUAGAGGCCUUCCCCACAGGCCAGAAAGGGCAGCGGAGGGGCUAAGGCGCUUCUGAGGGAGCUCGCCCCUAGGUUGGGGUUACCCCGUCACCUCCAGAGUGACAGUGGAGGCUUGCUCACCGCAAAGGUCACCCAGCCCUAGAAAUUAGCAUACCACCUCUAAUCAUCUGGGUACCUCGGUCCAGGAAAAGCGGGACAGGCUGGUCACAGCCUGAAGAAACGCUGGGGCUUCUCGUCGUGGCUCAGUGGGUCACAAACCCGACCAGCAUCUGUGAGCAUUCCUGGCCUCACUCAGUGGGUUGAGGAUCUGGCGUUGCCGUGAGCUGAGGGGUAGGUGGCAGCCUCGGCUCGGAUCCUGCGUUGCCGUGGCUGUGGUGUAGGCCGGCAGCUGCAGCUCCAAUUCGACCCCUAACCUGGGAGCCUCCAUGUGCUGCAGGUGUGGCCCUAAAAAGCUAAAAAAAGGGACUGCCCUUCAUGGCUCAGUGGAAACGAAUCUGACUAGUAUCUACGAGGAUGCAGGUUCAAUCCCUGGCCUCGCUCAGUGGGUUAAAGAUCUGAUAUUGCCGGGAGCUGUGGGUUAGGUCGCAGACACGGCUUGGAUGUUGCUGUGGCUGUGGUAUAGGCCGGCAGCUACAGCUCCAAUUUGACCCCUAGCCUGGGAACCCCCAUAUGCCACCGGUGCGGCCUAAAAAGACAAAA
rnacentral:lncRNA from 1 species